rnacentral:lncRNA from 1 species
UCUAGCACUGGGGAUUACAUUGCAACAUGAGAUUUGGGUGGGGACACAUAUUCAACCUAUAUCAGCUGCUUUCAUGCUAUGGGUGGCAGAGUUGAUUAACUACUACAAGAGACUGUAUGGCCCACGAAUUCUAAAAUAUUUACUAUCUGAUGCUUUCAAGUAAAAGCUUGCAAACCCUGCUCUUGAAAAGGAAGGGAAGGAAGAGGAGAGGAGGAAGGCAGGAAGGAGCAGAGAGGGACACGGGGCUGUAUUCAAACAUCUGUUGUUAAGAAAGAGAAAUUCAAUUUAUUUGGCAUGGUUCAAGUUAUCAAACUAGGAGCACUCCAUUGAAGUUUCAGGACAAACACUGUGCUGAAUGUCAGGAUGACCCCAUCUGUAAUGCCUAACCUUGUUUUUAUUAACUUUGUUCUUAGACUUUCCUUUUCUUUUAAUCACUUAGCCUUGUUUCUACCUGAAUUGACUUUCUUUUAGCUAAGAGAGCUAGACAGACUUUAUCUUGGCUUUUUCACUGGCAGCCCCUUCCUCAAGGACUUAACUUGUGCAAGCUGACUCUUAGCACAUCUAAGAGUGCAAUUAACUGAUAAGAUACUGUGGCGAGCAAUAUCCGCAGUUCCUAGGAAUUUGUCCGAUUGAUAAUGCCUAAAGCCCCACGUCUAUCACUUUGUAAUAGUCUUCAAGCCCUUAGACCUAGAACUGUUUACUUUCCUGUAACAAUUUAUCCUUUUAACUUUUUUGCCUACUUUACUUCUGUAAAAUUCUUUUAACUACACCCCUUUCCCCUUUCUAAACUGAAGUAUAAAAGAAAAUCUAGCCCCUUCUUCGGGGCCAAGAGAACUUUAAGAGUUAGCCAUCUCUUGGCCGCCAGCUAAAUAAACAGACUUAAUUCAUGUCAAAGUGUGGCAUUUUCUCUAACUCGCUCAAGUACAACAUUUGGAGGCCCGAGCGAGAAACGCCACCAGGCGAGAGCCGGGCUCGCUCCGGGCUCCCCCGGAAGGACGGCCGGCUUGUAGUGGGGGUGCCACCUGAAAAAAAAUUUUCAGGUCCCCAAAAGGUGACCGUCUUCCAGAGGAGAGCGGAUCGACUACCGUGUGGAUGCCCACAAAAAUUCCACCUCUGAGUCCUCAACUUCUGACCCCGAGGUCAGAUCCUUCUUAGAAAUUCCUAAGGCUCAAUGCUGUGUGGAAGAUUCUGAGAAAGAAAAUAGUUUCCGAUCUUUGGGAUUCCCGAGAUGGUCCAAUCUGCAAAAAGUUCAUUGCCAUUUCCAUCAAGGACACUGAGAACAAGAGUCUUAUCUGGAUUGGAUCCUGGGAAUUGAGAAGCUUCAGCAGGGCUUCCGCUGGGACUAGGAUCAGGGUGUGGACACCCCCAACCUGGACCGUCUGGCCGGGGAGGGCAUCAAGGCCAAUUACCCAUGCAGCCCCCUGUCACAAUGACCUCCCCAUCCCACUUCACUACCAUCCCAGAUCACAGACCUUUUGCCUGUGCCUUCUGCCCUGCUCCUUCCAGCCCCAGGGCCUUGGCCUAUGCUAGUCCAGUCUCUCCAGCUCACCAGGAGCAUGCAGUCCAGUCGGGGAGACAGACACCAGACACCCAAACAGGCACAUACAUCCUGUGACAACUCAGGAGGCAUCAAGGAGGAAAACGAGUUUUCCAGGCACAGACUACAGGGGUAAACUGGCUUCAAACUAGAGAGGGAGAAAGGGGGUCUCUGAGCAUGGGGCAGUUGAGCUGAAAGAGAUCUCAGGGGACCACAGCAAGGAAAAGUGUUCCAGGCAGAGGGAAGAGCAUGUGUGAGGUCUCUGAGACAAAGACCUGGUCAUUUCAGAAUCCCAGUGGCCACUAAAAUAGAGGGAUUCCAACCUAAAAAGGAGGAAGAGGAGGCUGCUGGAAAGCAAAGAACUCUGUGUAAGAAUCAUAAUAGCGGGGGUGGAGCCAAGAUGGCCGAAUAGGAACAGCUCCAGUCUACAACUCCUGGCAUGAGCGAUGCAGAAGACAGG